rnacentral:antisense_RNA from 1 species
ACACCACCUCACAGCAGGCCUGGCCACUGGCCUCAGCCCUUCUGGGAGAAGGUCAGCCAGGUGGAAGAUGGGGAGGGCUUCUGGACUGAGCCCUGGAGGGGAGCUGGGGGCCACCAGCAGGCAGAUGAGCCCUGGGACCCAGCUGGCCGACCCACCUGACCACGGUGACAAGGACUGCUUGGGAAGGAUAAGCCCAGGUUCGGGAAAGCAAAUUCAGGCUGCAGGACAGCUGCCCGGGCCCCCCAAAAGCCUGGCACCAGCCCAGAGAAGACUGAGGAGCCUCACUCCAUGGGGACUGCAAACACCUGAACACGGCGAACCUGAAGGUAUAGGGCAUCUUCAGGCUGCUGCUGAGGCGGUCCCGCUGCACUCAACCCAGAACCUCAUCACUGAAAGGGACCUCACGGUUCAGGCUAGAGUGCCGUGGCGCGAUCGCAGCUCACUGAAACCUCCGCCUCCCGGGUUCAAGCAAUUCUCCUGCUUCAGCCUCCCAAGUAGCUGGCAUUACAGACAUUGUCUCACUCUGUUAUCCAGGCUAGAGUGCAGUGGUGUCAUCUCAGCUCACUUCAACCUCUGGCCCGCACUGGCUCAAGUGAUCUUCCCACCUCAGCCUCCCCAAGUAGCUGGGACCACAGGCACACGCCACCACGCCCAGAUAAUUUUUUGUAUUUUCAGUAAAAACAGGGUCUCGUCAUAUUGCCCAGACUGGUCUUGAACUCCUGAGCUCAAGUGAUCUGCCUGCCUCGGCCUCCCCAAGUGCUGGGAUUAGAGGCAUAAGCCACCAUGUCUGGCCCUCAGUGGCUUCUAAUCCACCCUAUCUAUCCAUCAAGACUGGGUGGGGUGGGCUUGCUCAGUGUCCUUCAGAUUCCUUCAUUAAUUAACUCUUUUGUGUAUGAGGGUGUCCCAAAAGCAGCAGCCGUGAGUAGGGUUUGCCUUGGGUCACUGCUGUAGUCUCCUGCAUCCAGGAAAGAUCUAGGCCGCUCGCUUUCCACAAACCCUCCGGCUGAAACAAGCCACUUACCUGGCUGCAGUGAAGACACUGAUGCUGCUACUGAAGCUGGAGUCACAGGAACCAUCUGGACCUCCUGGGAGAGCAAGAGGAACAAGGGGUCAUGAAAGGCUGUUGGGUCUCUUGAAUAAAAAAGACCCCUGUGACAAGCACAUACAGAACUCUCCAGAGCCCCAUACCUUGAUUCAGGCUCUUCAAAAGGACCAUGGCUCUGGAGCCCUGAGGACCCAAUGCCCAGUCAUUCUCGAUUGUCCCCAAGCUUGUAAGUCUGUGGUCACCGUGAUCUCACAAGGAGGGGAGACACCAGUGCUGAACAUAUCUGGCAAAUCUCAGAAGGGAUCACUGGCCUGAGGGGAAUGGAUGUUUAAAAUGACAGAUACCCAGCAUCCUUAGCUAUCAGGAAAAUGCAAAUCAAAACCACAAGAUACUACUGUACACCCAUCAGGAUGGCUAAAAUAAAGAUAAUAGCAAGUGUUGAUGAGAAUUUGGAGAAACUGGAACCCUCAUACAUCGCUGGUGAGAAUGUAAAAUGGUGCAAGCUGCUUUGGAGAACAGUCUGGCCAUUCCUCCAAAGGCUAAACAUGACUCAGCAGCUCCACUCCUAGGUAUAUACCAAAGAGAAAUGAAAACUUAUGGCCACAUGAAACCUUGUACAUCAAUCAUGUUCACAUCAGCAUUAUCUACAAUAGCCAAAAAGCAGAAGCAACCCAAAUGUCUAUCAACAGAUGAAUGGAUAAAUGAGGUGUGGUAUAGCCAUACAAUGGACUAUUACUUGGCAAUAAAAAGGGAUGAAGUACUGAUGCACGCCAUAAAAAUGAACUUUGAAAACAUUGUGUUAAGUGAAAGAAGCCAAUCAUAAAAGACUACAUAUUGUAUCCCUUUCUCGAAAGUGUUUAGAACAGGCAAACCUAUGGAGACAGAAAGUGGACUGGAGGUUGCCUAGGACUGGAAGAGAUGGGGGAAUAGGGUAUAAUGGCUAAGGGAUUCUUUCAAGGGCACAGAAAAUAUUCUAAAAUUGAUUGUGGUGAUGGUUACAUAAUCCUGUGAAUCUACAAGUCACUGAAUUGUACACUUGAUGUUGGGUGAAUUGUGUGGUACAUGAAUUCUAUCUCAAUAAAGGGCUU